GGAGCUUUCGUAUAUCGGUUGAUUAUGCUAGAUUCUGAUUACGUAAUUCGCUACGUGCUUGAUUCUGGAGAGGGGGGUUCGAUUCCCUCAAGCUCCU
rnacentral:tRNA from 1 species